AUUGAACGCUGGCGGCAGGCCUAACACAUGCAAGUCGAACGAGUGGCGGACGGGUGAGUAAUGUCUGGGAAACUGCCCGAUGGAGGGGGAUAACUACUGGAAACGGUAGCUAAUACCGCAUACCAUCGGAUGUGCCCAGAUGGGAUUAGCUAGUAGGUGGGGUAACGGCUCACCUAGGCGACGAUCCCUAGCUGGUCUGAGAGGAUGACCAGCCAAACGGGAACUGAGACACGUUCCAGACUCCUCCGGAAGGCAGCAUUGGGGAAUAUUGCACAAUGGGCGCAAGCCUGAUGCAGCCAGGCCGCGUAGAUGAAGAAGGCCUUCGGGUUGUAAAGUACUUUCAGCGAGGAGGCGUUACUCGCAGAAGAAGCACCGGCUAACUCCGGGCCAGCAGCCGCGGUAAUAC
rnacentral:rRNA from 1 species